rnacentral:tRNA from 1 species
GCAUCGGUGGUUUAGUGGUAAAAUUAGCCGUUGCCAUGACUUCUCUCGAAAUGUCCUGUUUCGGCUAGCCCCGGGUUCGAUUCCCGGCCGAUGCA